ensembl:snRNA U1 U1 spliceosomal RNA
AUACUACCUGACAUGGAGACACCAUGACCUGGAAGGUGGUUUUCCCAGGGCGAAGCUGAUCCACUGCACUUGUGAUGCGCUGAUCCUUGUGAUUUCCCCAAAUGCAGGAAACCCCACUGCAUAAUUUGUGGUAGUGGGGGACUGCAUUCAUGCUUCCCCCUA